CUUUUUUCCCCGUGAUUAUAGUAUUCAGCAAGGCUCCAGCAACCCUUUCUGAUUGUGAGCAAAAUUCCAACCUCUUCUCGCUCUUGUGGGGUUAAUUUUUUAUUUUGUUUUCAAGAUAAUGGCGGAAUUUCACUUUGAUGAGAUAAUCAAGGUGCUCAAGAUAGGUAGCCAAGUCGUUUACACAAAGUUUCACGAAUAAAUGCGGAAGGCGAAGAGGGUGAUUCGUCUUUGGAAUUAGAUGUGCACAAUGAGCUAUAUCCUAUGCUUCCUGGUGAAAAAUAUAGGAUGGUGAAUGACAAAACUCUGAAUGUGGAUGGUUCGGCUGUCGAUGGCUACUUCCCUGAGGGGAAAUAGAAAACACUUGCAGACAAGUUUUAGUAUGUCAUGCAUGGGCUUUUGUAUAAGAUGUCAGAAGCUAAAGAAAAGACAGAUGGCGGAGAUGAUGUUAAAGUGUAUAUAUAUGCACCUUUUGAUUAAUGAAAUUUGUUCAUAUUAUUCAGUGAUUGUGUUAUGUCAACAAGCUGGAGAAAUAUUUAGAAAAUAGGGCCUCGUUUUCAUCAAAGGAACUUAUACUUAUGUGUCAUCUGACGUUCUUACUGCUUCUUCAGCGAAACACUCUAUUUGGAUCUUAUUCAUUGAUAUUGGGACUUUCAUUU